rnacentral:rRNA from 1 species
GUGCAGCGACGCCGCGUGAAGGAAGAAGUAUCUCGGUAUGUAAACUUCUAUCAGCAGGGAAGAUAGUGACGGUACCUGACUAAGAAGCCCCGGCUAACUACGUGCC